rnacentral:rRNA from 1 species
AAGGGUGGGGAUGACGUCAAGUCAUCAUCGGCCCGUUACCGGCCGUGGGCUACACACGUGCUACAAUGGUCGGUACAAAGGGUUGCCAAGCCGCGAGGUGGAGCUAAUCCCAAUAAAAACCGAUCGUAGUCCGGAUCGCAGUCUGCAACUCGACUGCGUGAAGUCGGAAUCGCUAGUAAUCGUGAAUCAGAAUGUCACGGUGAAUACGUUCCCGGGCCUU